rnacentral:rRNA from 1 species
AUUGAACGCUGGCGGCAGGCCUAACACAUGCAAGUCGAACGAGUGGCGGACGGGUGAGUAAUGUCUGGGAAACUGCCUGAUGGAGGGGGAUAACUACUGGAAACGGUAGCUAAUACCGCAUACCAUCGGAUGUGCCCAGAUGGGAUUAGCUAGUAGGGGGGGUAAAGGCUCACCUAGGCGACGAUCCCUAGCUGGUCUGAGAGGAUGACAAGGCACACUGGAACUGAGACACGGCCCAGACUCCUACGGGAGGCAGCAGUGGGGAAUAUUGCACAAUGGGCGCAAGCCGGAUGCAGCCAUGCCGCGUGUAUGAAGAAGGCCUUCGGGUGGUAAAGUACUUUCAGCGGGGAGGCGUUACCCGCAGAAGAAGCACCGGCUAACGCCGUGCUAGCAGCCGCGGUAAUUC